rnacentral:rRNA from 1 species
AACCGACUAAUGUUGAAAAAUUAGCGGAUGACUUGUGGCUGGGGGUGAAAGGCCAAUCAAACCGGGAGAUAGCUGGUUCUCCCCGAAAGCUAUUUAGGUAGCGCCUCGUGAAUUCAUCUCCGGGGGUAGAGCACUGUUUCGGCAAGGGGGUCAUCCCGACUUACCAACCCGAUGCAAACUGCGAAUACCGGAGAAUGUUAUCACGGGAGACACACGGCGGGUGCUAACGUCCGUCGUGAAGAGGGAAACAACCCAGACCGCCAGCUAAGGUCCCAAAGUCAUGGUUAAGUGGGAAACGAUGUGGGAAGGCCCAGACAGCCAGGAUGUUGGCUUAGAAGCAGCCAUCAUUUAAAGAAAGCGUAAUAGCUCACUGGUCGAGUCGGCCUGCGCGGAAGAUGUAACGGGGCUAAACCAUGCACCGAAGCUGCGGCAGCGACACUAUGUGUUGUUGGGUAGGGGAGCGUUCUGUAAGCCUGUGAAGGUGUACUGUGAGGUAUGCUGGAGGUAUCAGAAGUGCGAAUGCUGACAUAAGUAACGAUAAAGCGGGUGAAAAGCCCGCUCGCCGGAAGACCAAGGGUUCCUGUCCAACGUUAAUCGGGGCAGGGUGAGUCGACCCCUAAGGCGAGGCCGAAAGGCGUAGUCGAUGGGAAACAGGUUAAUAUUCCUGUACUUGGUGUUACUGCGAAGGGGGGACGGAGAAGGCUAUGUUGGCCGGGCGACGGUUGUCCCGGUU